UCUCUUUAUUUAUUUUUAUUCUCUCUCACCUCUUUAGGGGAGUUCCUCAUCUCUAUCCUUUCAUUAUAUCAACAUCCAUCGUCUUGGUUUUUUCUAUGUAAGUUUAACGGAGAUUGAGUGUGUUCAUUGGAUUACUCUCUCACCUCUUUCAUUAUCUCGACCUCCAUAGUCUUCUUCUACAAUAUCUCCAGAUCCGGAAGGAAGAGUAAAAGUCAACACCCUCAAACAAAUAAUUGAUUUCAAUGGGAUUCACCAAAAGAAGAAGAAUUAUCAACUGAUUACCAGCAAAAGGUUGGAAUGCAAAUACAUUUUUAGUUCAAGAUGGAAAAGAUUCAGGUGUUGUUCUUGCUGCUACUAAGACUGACUAACAGAAGAACCCUCCAAGAGUGGUGCACAGAACUGUCAUGAAGAAGGAAUUCAGUAGAAUGGCCAAGGCUGUCGCCAACUAGUGUACUUACAGCAAAAAAAAGAAAGAAUUAGAGCGGAAACCUUAAACUGAUAAAUUGUUGUGCACCUGAAUUAUUUUAAAAUCCAGUGCAUUUCGAAUUUUACCUGUUACGGUAUGGUAUUACUUGACUGCAAUGCAGACAGGGUUGGCAAAAGAGGAGACAUUUGCUCACACAUAUUUUUAUUCAUUAUUCUUAGUUUGCAAACUUGCUGCUCAUACUUUUCAGGUAGCCGAUCAUUAUCAAGGUACUAAGUCAACAGAUAUCUUGCUUAAUGCAGAUUAUCAAACUAAGGUAGCAGCUUUUGGAACUCCAAAAAUUUAUAAACAAAAGAAAUGGACUAUGAAGGAACUUUGUGGUAAGUAUGAGCAUGGAGUGAGAAUGUUAUUUUGUAGUGACAUUCCCUUUACAACGAGAAGAGUGUUAUUUGCGUUUAUAUUGCUUCAAACAGCUCAAACCUCCAAGAGACUUUUAGUUUGACACUACUAAGCUCUGUUAUUCAUUCUGAUUAACAUUUAUUCAUUCUUUUUAGUCGCUUACGCUGUGCUUCUUAUUUAAUUAGCUGAAAUUCAAUUUAUAAGAAUAGGGCAGGCCAGCUCAAAAGAUUUGUUCGCCUAAAGCUGGAGGACCUUGAGAUAUUUAAAGUGAAGGUUGUAUGAUUGAAAUUGCUGACGGAUUUGGAUAUCCAGAGAGAGAGGAAGAAUGGGUCAGGUAAGAACAAAAAUUCUAUUAUCAGCUAAUUGCAAUUUGGGAUUGAGAAGUAUUUGUAGAGAUUUUUAACACCUGAGACAUCACAGUUACUCUACGACUUUGAAUUGGGAUGACAUAAUUGAGUAAAAGAAACUUACACUUAGUUAUAGCAACGUGUGUCCUCUCUUUUCAGAAAACAUUAGUAAAGAAACUAUAAACCCGAGUCCAUGAAUACGAAGUUUCAUUUUUGUUGGACAAACCUUAUUCUGUUUUCUAUAAUCUUUAAUGUUACUUACACAGUCUUAGUGAUUAGGUUGAAUUAAACAGAUUGUAGUACUCCACUUAUUAUCACAAGUAUAUUACAGUGGUAAAAUAGUUCAUUUUUACCAGAGACCCUGAUUUUUUCGAAAUUUUAUUAAGUUGCGUUGUUAUUGUUAUUAAGCUUAGCACUGGUAACUCUGAUUGUGAUUCCCAAAUUUCUAUUUCAUUAAAAAUGUUUGCUCUUAGGUAGCUUAAAGUUGGUAAUUUAAGCUAACUGUGCUUGAAACCUUUCAUUUGGGGCUACGUAUUGAACUAAAGGACUUGCAAAUGACACUGUCAUUUGAAGUGACAACCUGAAAAAUAUGAUCAAUUAGUUUUAUGCUGAUUUUUUCAAAACUAAUGUGGUUCAUCUGUUCAUUCUGUAAACACUAAGUAUUAGACUCCUAUAAGAACCAAAGAAUGUAAUUACUCUUGAUGAUGGAUCUUCUUUUAAUGAUCCCGAAUGUUUCGCAAGCAAGUUAAAGCACGGGUGAAUCCAAUAUGUUAGUUUAGACAUAUCCAGACAUAAUGGUUCUGUGGAAAUUUAAAGAUAAUAAUAAAAAUAAUAAUCUUGGGUUCCGUUUGUACUUCUUAAGCUUAAUUGACUCCUCCUUUGAUUUAGGUAAAGGUUUAUACAUUUUGUGUGGCGAUACCUAAUUUUGAUAUACGUUUGCGCUAUAUCAAAGUGUUUGCAGGAUAAUCCCUGAGAACGGUGAUUCUUCUUAUCUAAUGGUUUGCAAUCUUUACAUGUUCAUCUAUAUAUUUUUAUGGUGUUUUUGGUAAUGAAGAGAGGUUGUAACUGACGUAGCAGUAAUGAUGACAGUGCUUGCUGUCUCUAGCUUCUUUGUUGGAAUUCAAUGUAUUCUUUUUAAGGUUUGUGUGCUACAUACUACAUGUACACGUGCUUUUGAUGUUUAUAACUUUAACAGUAAAUGUUCUGUUAAUUGAUCGCGCAAAUGGCUCUGCUUUAGAGACUUUUGGUAGCUCUUGCUUCAAUUUUUUUGUUGAGUAUAUAAACUAAUCGCCGAGCAUUAUCUUAGGCACCGCUAGAAGAUGAGGUUGCAGAAGAUUGGGGGAGCACAUAAAAAUUCAAACUGCCAUCGUAAUAGGAUAAUAGCUAGCAUAGGUUUUCAGAAAGUUGUUGCUGCCUAUGAAUGCAAAAUUGUUCAAGGUGUGCUCAGCCAUCAGCUCAAGCAGUUUGGAAACAAGGUUGUACUCAGUGUUCCCUUAAACUAGAGUUGAUGAUGCAGAAUUCCAGGAGAAUGAUGUUUAUGGAAUUGCUAUGGAGUAAAUCAUUUUGCUGGUUAACUGCACUUGUCUUCGAACUUUAUUAUCAGUUAGGACUUAAACUUAUAUUGGUAUGAACUCAGAAUUUAAACCCCUUUUUGUGUAAUUUGAACCUAAUGAAUCAAUGAAUGCUAAAUGGAAAAAUUAUUUGAGUUUACCAGUGCAA